AGGACGAACGCUGGCGGCGUGCUUAACACAUGCAAGUGGAGCGACGAACCAGGGCUUGCCCUGGGGCAGAGCCGCGAACGGGUGAGUAACACGUGGGUUACCUGCCUUGAUGACCGGGACAACCCGAGGAAACUCGGGCUAAUACCGGAUGUGCCCGUAAGGGGAAAGGAAGCUUCGGCCUCCGCAUCAAGAUGGGCCCGCGGCCCAUUAGCUAGUUGGUGAGGUAACGGCUCACCAAGGCUUCGAUGGGUAGCUGGUCUGAGAGGACGAUCAGCCACACUGGGACUGAGACACGGCCCAGACUCCUACGGGAGGCAGCAGUGGGGAAUAUUGCGCAAUGGGCGAAAGCCUGACGCAGCGACGCCGCGUGGGGGAUGAAGGCCUUCGGGUUGUAAACCCCUUUCGGCAGGGACGAAGCGAAGUGACGGUACCUGCAGAAGAAGCGCCGGCUAACUACGUGCCAGCAGCCGC
rnacentral:rRNA from 1 species